GUUGAUCAGUGGGAAAUCCAAUGCGAGUGAAUACUCGUUGGAAUAACUAAAGUAGUGAGUAGUUUGCAUGUCCCAAUUAGGCAGACUUUAAACCAUUCCAUUGGUCCGUAAAGUGAAACCAGUUUUUUCAAAGGACAAAUUGUAGUUGUUGCCAUCAGCCCUUUCCUUGACAAGUGUACAUUAUGGUUUUCAGGGGAAGAGGCAAUUAGGUCUGUAACACAAUAUCUGUAAUCACACAUUCAACUUUUCCUUAUUAUCCAGAUAGUAAGGAGGAAUUGACUUAUCACCUUGCUACUCAGAUUCUAUAAUUCUAUAUUCUUAGCUCACACUGUACAAUAUAUAGCUUGAAUUCAAAGUACAGAGGAGACAUCAAUUUUUCUCCCUCAUUUAAUUCCAUUAUAUAGGAUUAUCUAGUUUGUUUCUUUGAACAACAGUUGACAUCCCAGUCACAAUUGCAAUGUUCUUUGUUACUGCUGUGUAUUUUUUAACUUUCCAAUCAAGUAGCUUCUAAAAUUCUAUCUACUUCUAACUAGAGGGUUUGGAUUCACACAUUAUUUUCAUAACACAAUUAGACAACAAUUAUAACCACAUUUUAUUGGUUUAUACCAAUCAUUACACAGAUACAUCUAUAAACAAAUAAAAGAAACUGUACACUUGAACUUGAUACCUAAAACGCAUAUGAAUAUUGCUACUGCUGGUGUGUGUAUUUGACAGCUCCAGUGGACGCACAGUCUCUGCAUUCAAGGAACUAUAAUCCACUGUUUGUAUCACACUGUUAUGCAUGUCAUUAGCUUUGCUAAAAACACAGAAUUCCAUUUUUACCAUCCUCACAGUGUACACACUGCAUAUAAUGUUUGAAAACCCUUUUUAACAGCAUCUAUACAAAUGUAUUGCAAUGCUAUCACAAAACAAAGACAAAACCAAUUACGCGCAAUGCACAGGCCUGAUAGGGAGAAACUCCAGUACUAGAGAAAAGGUUUAUUAAGCAGAAUGGUUCGAAAAAAAAAAAAAAAAAGCAAAAAAAAGUUGCCAUGAGUACAAGAGUUAACAUGUGGAACACAGCUUACAAACAUUCUAAAACGCAUUUCCUCAUUAUAAACAAUACAACAAUGUGUUCAGUUAUUCAUCCCCUCCCCACCACACAAUGCAGGUUACAUAUACCGUCCCUCAUAUAGCCUAUGGAAUGUUAGUCUCUUUUUAGGCAAGCUCUGUUGUUUCAACCGGAUCCUGUAAACGACGUGAUUGCAUGUUCUUGAUACAGCAACCUGUCCCACCCCUUCUUUCCCCUACAUUGAAAAUAAAAACAUUUGACAAUUUACAAUGACCAUAAUUGUUCCGGAGAUGUAAAAAUGCGGGAUGCAUUGAAAUCCCUGUCUCCAAAUUUAUUUUGUUUCAUAAAAAAAUGUUUCUACAAUCAAACUACUAAAAAACCUGCAUUUAGAAAAGUCGAUAAAAAUAUUCCCCUGAAUUGUACAAGAAAAAGAGGUACAGGGAGCACUGAUAAAAGAUGUGGUUUGAGAGAUGUUAUUCUGCUGCCUCCUCUUCAUCAUCUUUCUGUUCAGGUUCAUCUGUGGCUGGUGCCUGAAACAUAUGUCACAAGAGUUAAUGAAUAUAUUAUAUGUUUAACAGUCAGCCAUAUACACUUUUGAUUUGAAAUGCACCUCAUCCUCAGCUUUGGCUUCCCCAUUCUCUGCGGGCACCUCCUCCUUCUCCUCAGGCUCAGUCUUCUUCACCUCUUUAGCCUUCUUGGGCUUAGGUGCUGCCUUCUCCUUCUGUAAAGAUGUGUUUAACAUAAGCGUCUGUAAGACUUAGUUGAGUAUCAAAUGUAUUUGAUUAACACACUGUGUCAGCAAUACUCACCUUUGGCUUGGGCUCUGCCUUUGGAGUAGCCGGUUUCUGCAAUUAAAUAUUUCAUUCAGUGUGUUUCUUAGCUGGAAUUCUAUGUUUUUUUUGUGUGGUUUUUACACGCUUAUUAUAGAAACUUAAUGUACUCACGUUAACCAAUCGCUCAGAUCUUCUCUUGGGCUGAAAAACAUCCCCCCAAAAAAGAAAUAUACCAUCAUUAAACGGGGGCAGGUUUUGACAAGACUGUUUGAUGCUGACAUCUGGUGGCUGACCAAUGGAAUUGUAUUAACAUUAAUAUUUGUACAUCAUAAGAACUUUAACAUGCACACUUUCUCUUUUAUUCAGAGGUUUUUUACUCACCUCUGCUGCCUCAGAAUCAGCAUUUGCCUGGGGAAAAAAGAUAAGUUAGUAACAGCUCAGCAGAGCAACAUUUUGGGUGUUUACACGGGGGGCAGUUUAAAUGCCAUGAGUAUUGGAGUUAUGUAACACAAAGUGGGCGUGGUUGUAAAGUCAAAAAGUAUUGCAUGGUGUUAACACCACAAUCGAGUGAUAUAACCGCUUGUUUGUUCCACUUACAUUAUCCAUAACUGCCAAAUAGACGUGUUACUAUGCUUAGGUUACGCCAAUUAUUAUUACCAUGCUGCUCAUGCUCUCUAGGGAGAGGAGGGGAAUACCGGCUCCUCCUCCCGACACAUUCAUUCAAUGGUGAUAAAUGGGAUUUUGGCAAGCUGCAUGACUGUCCUCUACGUCGACCAGCCUGUCUACUAUGUGUUCCCGCCAUUCAUUCGAAUUUCGAACUCUCCGAGAUCCUCAGCGAUUCUCCAAAUGGUUACAGAAUCUACUAGAAUCCCCAGCAACACUGCGCCUCAGUGAUGUCGACGAAUCGCCAUUGCAUAACCCAUAAUUGGCACGAGGAAACAACAAAAACGAAAGGGCACAUGAAAAUGAAAUGUAACCACGGAAAACAUUAACGAUACAACAUGUUGCAUGCGUACACUUUACAUAUAACAAAAUAUACAUAACGAUGCAUUUUGAUAUGGGAAAGUAAAGGAAAACGUCGUCAGUGUUUGUCUUGCCCACAAGGGUAGCCAUGACACACAGAUACUUCGUGCCCUUUACGAAGAGCCCAAGAAAUAGUCUUCGGCAUGUGCAUACCUUACUGCCCAGUAUACAUUGAGUAAUAUAUACGGCUAUAUUAUACUUUAUAUUACAACGUAUUUAGACAUGGGUGCAUGAAAUACAGUCUAAAUUAAAUGUUAUAUUUUACAAAACGUGCAAUCCUAGUAAAAGAUCGGUGUCACCAACUUUAUUUCUGCAGAAUGGCCAUCUCACGACCUACACCUCUUUGUCUGUCUAAAGGUAAAUGUAAUGUAUUGUAAACAACCACUGUGAAAAUGUGACAAAAACCACAAUGCAUAACCGAUAUGACUGGGUAAAUAAUAGGUACCGCACAUUUAACCGGUCCUAAUUUUCGAAGAGUAAAAUCACAGCAUGAAAAAGAUAAGACGAAGAAAACCCGCCACUUCCCAAAUCAAAACAGAGUGAUACAUUUUAAACUCCUGACUGCACACAGAGCAGUGCAACAUUGCAGCGGAGCGGACCAAAACAACAUGCAUUUGCCUCUACAUUUUAACAAUUGUACAUGCAAAACCAAAUGCAUUUAAUGCAAUUUGAUUUGCAUCUGUCAAAGGACACAAAAAAAUCAAUAAAGAAAACACUGUACUUACUUUGCUCCUUUUAGGCAUGGCUGUUUCGUGUAAAGAAAAAAACAGGGAAAUCUUCCAAAACCGAGAAAGAAAAUACAGUAUGUUCGGUAUAAGAUUCAAACAGUACGUUCUAUUACAGCCUAGCAAGACGUUAAUGUUCGAUUGGAACAAAAACUAGCUCAAACCGGAUUGGAUUCUCCCCCUCCCUCCCUAUUCAAUUCAUUAUAGCGCCGACCUGACAGACAAGCCACUCUCCGC
ensembl:lncRNA